rnacentral:rRNA from 1 species
UACGUAGGCAGCGAGCGUUGUUCGGAAUUACUGGGCGUAAAGAGUGUGUAGGCGGUGCUCUAAGUUCGGUGUGAAAUCUCCCGGCUUAACUGGGAGGGUGCGCCGGAAACUGGAGUGCUCGAACGUGGGAGAGGAAAGCGGAAUUCCCGGUGUAGCGGUGAAAUGCGUAGAUAUCGGGAGGAAUACCUGCGGUGUAGACGGCUUUCUGGACCAUUGUUGACGCUGAGACACGAAAGCGUGGGUAGCAAACAGG